rnacentral:rRNA from 1 species
UACAGAGGGGGCAAACGUUGUUCGGAAUUACUGGGCGUAAAGGGCGCGUAGGCGGCCUUCUAAGUCGAACGUGAAAUCCCCGGGCUCAACCCGGGAACUGCGUCCGAUACUGGAAGGCUUGAAUCCGGGAGAGGGAUGUGGAAUUCCAGGUGUAGCGGUGAAAUGCGUAGAUAUCUGGAGGAACACCGGUGGCGAAGGCGACAUCCUGGACCGGUAUUGACGCUGAGGCGCGAAAGCCAGGGGAGCAAACGGG